rnacentral:rRNA from 1 species
UACAGAGGGUGCAAGCGUUGCUCGGAAUUAUUGGGCGUAAAGGGUAGGUAGGUGGUCUCAUUUGUCGGGGGUGAAAGCCUUGGGCUUAACCCAAGAAGUGCCUUCGAAACGGUGAGACUAGAGUUCUGGAGAGGGUCGUGGAAUUCCAGGUGGAGUGGUGAAAUGCGUAGAGAUCUGGAAGAACACCAAAGGCGAAGGCAGCAUCCUGGGAAGUUCCUGACGCUCAGGCACGAAAGCGUGGGGAGCAAACAGG